rnacentral:rRNA from 1 species
UACGGGGGGGGCAAGCGUUGUUCGGAAUUACUGGGCGUAAAGAGCUCGUAGGCGGUCUGUCGCGUCGGCUGUGAAAUCCCGAGGCUCAACCUCGGGUCUGCAGUCGAUACGGGCAAACUAGAGUAUUGCAGGGGAGACUGGAAUUCCUGGUGUAGCGGUGAAAUGCGCAGAUAUCAGGAGGAACACCGGUGGCGAAGGCGGGUCUCUGGGCAUUACCUGACGCUGAGGAGCGAAAGUGUGGGGAGCGAACAGG